UACGAAGGGUGCAAACGUUAAUCGGAAUUACUGGGCGUAAAGCGUGCGUAGGCGGUUUCUUAAGUCUGCUGUGAAAGCCCUGGGCUCAACCUGGGAAUGGCGGUGGAUACUGAGAAGCUGGAGUACGGUAGAGGAAGGUGGAAUUCCCGGUGUAGCGGUGAAAUGCGUAGAGAUCGGGAGGAACAUCAGUGGCGAAGGCGGCCUUCUGGACCAGUACUGACGCUGAGACACGAAAGCGUGGGCAGCAAACAGG
rnacentral:rRNA from 1 species